AUUCUGUUAUGGAAACUCCAGACUGUUACCUGGUAUGCUGGACCCUACCUCCUCACCCUGGUAGAGGCCUACUACAGGCAGUGCUAUCAGCUCUGGGCCCUGGCAUUUUUAUCCUUGUUUGUGUGAUUAAGGACUUCCAGGUGCUGUUGGGUGUUUGAUCAAUCACUUGAUCAGUGAUUCUCCACAGUAAGACUGACAGUUAUUGUCACCCCCAAGUCCUUAUUGAAGCUAUUUGACUUCAUUUGUUUUAACCCAUCACAUGUUUGGGUUUCUUCUCCGUGGCCUCUGAAUCUACCUCUUCUGUCAAAAACAUCAGCAUGGCAGGGUCUUCCAGGGCUCCAUCAGAUUCAAGGGUGGAAAUCCAGGACCUGUGCUCCCAGCUGGUAAAGAGUCAACAGGAGUCUGAAGAUCUCAAAGAGAGGUUUCCUGUAUCUGAGACUAUUGCCUAUGCCCUGGCCAACCAGCUACAGAAAUAUGAAAAUGAUGAUGGCAAAGAUGAUGAAGGAGAGAGAGAACCCCUGUCCCACAUGAAUAACAUGGACUGGUUUUCAUGGGUGUGAGAAAGACAAAGAUCAAGGAUCACUGAACUCUCUGAUACCCAGAAAACCAUGAGAUGGAGGAAGAUGGAGAACUGGAAUCACUGGCUUCCAGGUAGUGAGAUGUGUUUGGAAGCUGAUGAGCAAAGGAAAAUCUAUAGAGAGCUGGAUUUGGAUGCUCCCUUGUAGUGAAGAGCCUUCCCAUGCUGGAGUGUGAUGCUCAUGGAUGCUCAGCUGCUAGCACGCAGGAGAAUCAAGUCAUUGGCCACACUGAUGGCUUAAGCAGCUCCAAACAGAAGACUAUCAAAAAAAACCUGCAGCCCAACAAGUGGAAACCAGUGUGCAGACUCCCAGGACUUACAGCUGAGGACGCAGAGGAAUCUGGGUCUCGUUGGCCCAGCUCAGGCUGGGUGACUUCUCCUGGAGCAGGCAGAGGGAGGGGACACAACAAGACCUUGUCCAAAGAAGGAGAGAUUGUGCCAAGAAAGAAGACAACGCUGAGGAGACCUUUCGCCCCAGGGGUCACCCUAAGGACAGCGUGGGAGGACUUGCCGGGUUGCGGGGCCCUCGGCUGCGGGGCCAGAACCUCGGACGCCAGCGACGGGCGCAGCUGCACGGCUUGGGCGGGCUCACCGCGGACGGGGACCCCCAGGUCGCCACCGGGUUCCAUGUGCGGGCGACUUCCUUGAGGACGCGGUUUCCCGCCCCGGGCUCCUGCGUGAUUCUGUGUGUGAUGUGCAAGGAAGAAUGUCAAGGAGAGGACUGUGGACUGAGGGCCUGGGGCGCUCACCUGCAGCCAGCGGUCACUGAGGCCCUGGGGAGAACAGGCCCAGGGGGCCAGGCACCGAGUGGCCCCGUCUCAGUCGCGGUGUCAACCCCCCAACUUGCCAAGGAACAAGACGUCAUGCCUCCAGUGCCAGGGAAUUUGGAAUAUGUGUUCAGUGGGAGCUGGGUGUGAAGCGUCUUCCAACCCCAGGGAGCAGUCUAGGGCUUUACAGCGUUUCCUCUCUGUGGGGUCGUCAGUUCGCAGGUGGCUGGUAGUGGAAAAGGUUGGUUGUUCAAGAGCACUGCACGAUGUUCUGGCCCUCACCCGCCUUUUUCUUCUGGUUUCUGGUUCUCAAAAUUUACCAAAUUCAGAUUUGGACUGCUGGCCUAGUGGUUAACAUGUAGGAUUGGGAUGCCUGCACCCCACAGCUGAGCGCCAGGCCUGGGUCUGCUCCCUGAUACAGCUCCCUGCUAAUGUGCACCCUGGCAGGCAGCAAGUGAUGUCUCAAGUAGCUGGGUUUUUGCAACCCACAUGGAAAACCCAGGCUAAGUUCCUGCCUCCAUUCUUUGGCCCCUAGCCAAGGGCUGUUGGUGACAUUUGGAGAGUAAACCAGGAGGUGGCAUUCCUGUUGGUCUAUCUCACU